rnacentral:rRNA from 1 species
GAUGAACGCUGGCGGCGUGCCUAAUACAUGCAAGUCGAGCGAACGGACGAGAAGCUUGCUUCUCUGAUGUUAGCGGCGGACGGGUGAGUAACACGUGGAUAACCUACCUAUAAGACUGGGAUAACUUCGGGAAACCGUAGCUAAUACCGGAUAAUAUUUUGAACCGCAUGGUUCAAAAGUGAAAGACGGUCUUGCUGUCACUUAUAGAUGGAUCCGCGCUGCAUUAGCUAGUUGGUAAGGUAACGGCUUACCAAGGCAACGAUGCAUAGCCGACCUGAGAGGGUGGGUGGACAAACUGGAACUGCGACACGGUCCAGACACCGACGGGAGGCAGGAGGCGGGAAUCUUCCGCAAUGGGCGAAAGCCUGACGGAGCAGUGACGCGUGAAUGAUGAAGGUCUUCGGAUCGUAAAACUCUGGGAUUAGGGAAGAACAAAAGUCGAAGAAACUAUGCACGUCAGGAACGGACAUAAUAAGAAAGACACGGCUAAUCUCGUG